AAAUUGAAGAGUUUGAUCAUGGCUCAGAUUGAACGCUGGCGGCAGGCCUAACACAUGCAAGUCGAACGGUAACAGGAAGCAGCUUGCUGCUUCGCUGACGAGUGGCGGACGGGUGAGUAAUGUCUGGGAAACUGCCUGAUGGAGGGGGAUAACUACUGGAAACGGUGGCUAAUACCGCAUAACGUCGCAAGACCAAAGAGGGGGACCUUCGGGCCUCUUGCCAUCAGAUGUGCCCAGAUGGGAUUAGCUUGUUGGUGAGGUAACGGCUCACCAAGGCGACGAUCCCUAGCUGGUCUGAGAGGAUGACCAGCCACACUGGAACUGAGACACGGUCCAGACUCCUACGGGAGGCAGCAGUGGGGAAUAUUGCACAAUGGGCGCAAGCCUGAUGCAGCCAUGCCGCGUGUAUGAAGAAGGCCUUCGGGUUGUAAAGUACUUUCAGCGGGGAGGAAGGUGUUGCGGUUAAUAACCGCAGCAAUUGACGUUACCCGCAGAAGAAGCACCGGCUAACUCCGUGCCAGCAGCCGCGGUAAUACGGAGGGUGCAAGCGUUAAUCGGAAUUACUGGGCGUAAAGCGCACGCAGGCGGUCUGUCAAGUCGGAUGUGAAAUCCCCGGGCUCAACCUGGGAACUGCAUUCGAAACUGGCAGGCUUGAGUCUUGUAGAGGGGGGUAGAAUUCCAGGUGUAGCGGUGAAAUGCGUAGAGAUCUGGAGGAAUACCGGUGGCGA
rnacentral:rRNA from 1 species